ACCCCAAUUAGUUAAAAGAGCAAAACACUGACUCCUCAUGCCUUACCUGUGACCGUGCUACCGCACGCACGUGAGAAACAGGAUCUGUUUUCCUGGAGAACUGGAGCUGAGAAGAGCACUUAAAAAAAGAAAAUAAAUGUGCUUUU